rnacentral:rRNA from 1 species
UGCGCCUACGGGGGGCAGCAGUGAGGAAUAUUGGUCAAUGGGCGAGAGCCUGAACCAGCCAAGUCGCGUGAGGGAAGACGGUCCUAUGGAUUGUAAACCUCUUUUGUCGGGGAGCAAAAAGGCCUCGUGAGGCCACAAGCGAGAGUACCCGAAGAAAAAGCAUCGGCUAACUCCGUGCCAGCAGCCGCGGUAAUACGGAGGAUGCGAGCGUUAUCCGGAAUGAUUGGGCGUAAAGGGUGCGCAGGCGGUCCUGCAAGUCUGGAGUGAAACGCAUGAGCUCAACUCAUGCAUGGCUUU